AAGAGAUGUAGUGUUUGAUGAAUCAAGCAGGAUAAUGUCUAGAGCUGUGGGUGUUGAUAACAACAUGGAUUUUCCCAUUCUUGAAGAAAAUAUUGAACCUGCUUUUCAAGACUCUGGUCUUAUUGAGAGUGAAACGGUUCAGAAAAACACUGAUAUGGUAGUAUGAGAUGUGCAGCCUAGUGAAAUUGAAAAUGAAGUGGAGAAUGAAGUAGAAAAUGCCGAUCCAGAGAUAUCUGGUGUUUUAUCUGAAGAUCAUCAACUGGCGGAUAUAUUAACAAAUCCACUCCCAGCUCCACGCUUCGCACAACUAAGACAGCGUCUUGGCUUAACCGAUUGAUGGAUGCAGACGACAAUUUUUUUUAUAUACUUACAUAAAAGUUGAAGACAUAAUUUAAUUUGUCAUUUAAAAGAAUAAUUUUUUGAAACUAUGUUAUUGAAUUUAAAAUCUGUUAUAUUUUCAAGUUAUUAAGUUUGGAAACAGAAGAUAUUCCUAAUUACUUUAUAAUUUUCAAAUUUAUAAGAUUACUUCCUGAAAUUGCCUUUAAUUGUUUUGUAUGUUAAUUUUGCAUCACAUCAUUUUGUCAUUUUGAAUAUUCAAUUUUCUUUGUAUUAAUUUUAAGAUUCACCUAAUUGGGUUUUACUGGGUUUCUCCAAUUCAAGCAACAAAUGUUGGGUCAAUGUGCACUCCCAGAAAUAUCUUGUCUUGUCAAUGUGCACUCCCAGAAAUAUCUUGUCUUGCCAACUCAAAUUUCAAAUUGUUUAUUAAACUUUAAAUUUAUAAAUCAUGA